rnacentral:rRNA from 1 species
UGCGUAGGCGGCGCGGUAAGUCGGGUGUGAAAUCUCGGAGCUUAACUCCGAAACUGCAUUCGAUACUGCCGUGCUUGAGGACUGGAGAGGAGACUGGAAUUUACGGUGUAGCGGUGAAAUGCGUAGAUAUCGUAAGGAAGACCAGUGGCGAAGGCGGGUCUCUGGACAGUUCCUGACGCUGAGGCACGAAGGCAGGGAGGCAAACG